rnacentral:rRNA from 1 species
AGCGAACGCUGGCGGCAGGCUUAACACAUGCAAGUCGAACGCUCGUCUUCGGACGGGAGUGGCAGACGGGUGAGUAACACGUGGGAACGCACCCUUUGGUUCGGAAUAACACAGGGAAACUUGUGCUAAUACCGGAUACGCCCUUUUGGGGAAAGGUUUACUGCCGAAGGAUCGGCCCGCGUCUGAUUAGCUAGUUGGUGGGGUAACGGCCUACCAAGGCGACGAUCGGUAGCUGGUCUGAGAGGAUGAUCAGCCACACUGGGACUGAGACACGGCCCAGACUCCUACGGGAGGCAGCAGUGGAGAAUAUUGGACAAUGGGCGCAAGCCUGAUCCAGCCAUGCCGCGUGAGUGAUGAAGGCCUUAGGGUUGUAAAGCUCUUUUGUCCGGGACGAUAAUGACGGUACCGGAAGAAUAAGCCCCGGCUAACUUCGUGCCAGCCGCCGCCGUAAGAC